UACGUAGGGGGCAAGCGUUGUCCGGAUUUAUUGGGCGUAAAGAGCGUGUAGGCGGCUUUACAGGUCCGUUGUGAAAACUCGAGGCUCAACCUCGAGACGCCGGUGGAAACCGUAAAGCUAGAGUCCGGAAGAGGAGAGCGGAACUCCUGGUGUAGCGGUGGAAUGCGCAGAUAUCAGGAAGAACACCGGUGGCGAAGGCGGCUCUCUGGGCCUUACCUGACGCUGAGGAGCGAAAGCGUGGGGAGCGAACAGG
rnacentral:rRNA from 1 species